UACGUAGGUCCCGAGCGUUGUCCGGAUUUAUUGGGCGUAAAGCGAGCGCAGGUGGUUUAUUAAGUCUGGUGUAAAAGGCAGUGGCUCAACCAUUGUAUGCAUUGGAAACUGGUAGACUUGAGUGCAGGAGAGGAGAGUGGAAUUCCAUGUGUAGCGGUGAAAUGCGUAGAUAUAUGGAGGAACACCGGUGGCGAAAGCGGCUUACUGGACUGUAACUGACGUUGAGGCUCGAAGGCGUGGGGAGCAAACAGG
rnacentral:rRNA from 1 species